GAUAGGUAGUGGAUGGAUGCUGCUGUGAAUGACUGAAUAAAAUGGUGAUAUUAAUCAAUCAAUGUAUACAUGCAGUAACAUGUUGGCUUUGAAUGGAAGGAAAGCUGAUGUGAUGCCCCUUUCUCUCUCUCUCACAAUGUGGGGGUUGUGAUUGUCUGUGGCUGGUGUGCACAAGAUGGUGAAGUUAACACCCAAUCAUGUCAUACCCCAAUUACCUCCAGGUUUCAGCAGGACAAGCAUUGUGCCCCAUCCAUAAGAGAGAGCAGAUUAAGCUUUUCUGUGUGACUUGUGAUCAGCGGACUUGCCGUGAUUACCUCGACUAACCUGUACCAGUUAGCCCAGGAUGCUUUGCCAGAGCAGAGGAAAUGGUUACAGUAUCUAAUGGAGACUUUGAGGACAGAGAGAGUGACCGUGCAACAGGACCUAGAUGGACGGCUGUCUGACUUGGAGGAUCAGCUGGAGAGUGUUGGAGCGGAGGUCAAGGAUAUCCUCAAGGGCAUCUGGAGUGUCCUGGUGAAGAGAGCCAUGCAGCUUUCCAAGGAAAUGCAGCUCUCUUAACAUCGUCCUGAUACGGGGACUGUUGCUGCGGAAACUGCCCCCUCCCCUCACCGCACCCAGUCAGAAUUUGUGUCCAAUGUCUGGCUUCUCCACACACUGUUGAAGAGCGUGAAGUAUUCCAAGUCAGUGGACCGAUUUGAGGCAUGUUUCGGGAGGGAGCUGGUCAAAACGCUUGUGGGGAUCCUGCACCCUUCGCUGCUCGUCAACCCCCACCAAGGGGAAGCGGAGAGGAGUGCAGAACAAGAGGGGGGCAAGGAGAAAGUGUCCAUGAGGAGAAUCCAAGGCCUCUAGAGGAGCACGCAGGCAGAGUUCUUUCACACAGGACUCGAUGAAAGCUGGAGAAUGGCAGCAGAAGGCCGUAUUUGUGUAUUUAAUUUGGUCUUUGAAUUCCUUGGUGAACAUAUUUGUACAUAGUUGCAGCCAAAUAUUGGCACCCUUGCACUUUUUUUUCCUUUAAAAAAAAAAAUUUCUUCUAAAAUAACUUGAAAUUUGGAAAAACCUUUGGUAUCUACACCUUACUGUAUUUUCAACAUUACAGACCCAAUUUACCCAAUUGGUAAAUUUAAGUUUACAAUUUGGCAUGUACAAAAUGAUUGGCAAGUACUUGGUUGCAUAGCCUUUGGCCAAGAACUACAGACAAAUGCUUCUUGUAGGCAUCAGUAAGGUGGCUGCAUCUUAUUACUGGUGAUUUUACUCAGCCUUCAGAAGCAAACUGCUCUAAUUCUUUAAUGUUUGAGGGGUGCCCUCCACCAACUGCUGUUGUCAGCUCUCGCCAUAGGUUAUGGAUGUGGCAACUGCUCGGCCUCGUUCCUGCCAUCCAGGACCUCCUAUACCAGGCGGUGUCAGAGGAGGCCCUAAAAAUUGUCAGACUCCAGCCACCCUAGUCAUAGACUGUUCUCUCUGCUACCACACGGCAAGCUGUGCCAAGUCUAGGUCCAAAGGUCUUAACAGCUUCUACCCCCAAGCCAUAACUCCUGAACAGCUAAUCAAAUGGCUACCCAGACUAUUUUCAUUGCCCCCUUUCCUGCACCUAUUUUAUGCUGCUGCUACUCUCUGUGUAUUAUCUAUACAUAGUCACUUUAACUCUACCUACAUGUACAUAUUACUUCUACUAACCGGUACCUACUCACAUUGACUCUGUACCGGUAGCCCCUGUAUAUAGCCUCGCUAUUUGUUAUUUUACUGCUGCUCUUUAAUCAUUUGUUACUUUUUAUAUAAUUUGGUUGUGUGUGUAUAUAUAAAAAAUAAAAUAUAUAUAUAUUUUUUUUUACUUAACACUUGUUUUUCUUACAAGUUAAGUAAGCAUUUCACUGUAAGGUCAACACCGGUUGUAUUCGGCGCAUGUGACAAAUACAAUUUGAUUUGAUUCAGAUCUGGCCACUCCAGAACAGUCCAGCGUUUCUUCUUGAACCAUUCCAGGGUGCCUUUAUAUUUGUUUGGGGUUGUUGUCCUGCUGAAAUUACCAUCAACCUUCCAACCGAGACCAAGUGUUUGGACACUGGGUUGAACAUUGCACUCCAAAACACCUUCAUAAUCUGCGGUUUUGCUUAUGUACAAGGCCCCAAGCACUAGAGGCAGCAAAGCAACCCCACAGCAUUAUCAAACCUUCCCUAUGUGUGUAGUUAUUUUCUUAAUUUGGUUGUUGGUUAACAUAGGAAGCCCCCCACUGCCGAAGAAGACUCAAGAAAGCCUGAUUGAAUGCUGGACUGUAGUGGAGUGGCCAGCCAAUAUUCCAGAUCUACAUCCCAUCCAAAACCUAUGGUAAGAGCUGAAAAUAGCAGUUGGAAGAAUAAGAGCAAUUUGCUGUGAAGUGGGACAAAUUGCCAGUAGGAAGGUGCAGCAAGCUCAUUGAUGGUACAAGAAGUGUUUGUCUGCAGUUGGCCAAAGGCUGUAAUUUUGUCUGCCAAUUGUUUUUCUUUUCUAAAUUAGUAGUUUGCAAAAAUACAAUGGGUUCUAGAAUGUUGCAAAUCCAAGGUCUGGAGACAAAGUUCUCAAUUUCAAACUAUUUUUGAAGAAAUGGGGAAUUAAUUGAGAAGUGCAAGGGUGCCAACUAGUUUGUUACAAAGUUUAUCCCUUGUGUAAAAAUCAACAAUGUUGCACAUGGUUUGACUUUUGGGAUUUAAUUCACCUUUUGUCU
ensembl:lncRNA